rnacentral:SRP_RNA from 1 species
GCCAGGCGUGGUUGUGCACGCCUGUUAUCCCAGCUACUUGGGAGGCUGAGGCAGGAGAAUCGCUUGAGCCUGGGAGGUGGAGGUUGCAGUGAGCCGAGAUCAUGCCACUGCACUCCAGCCUGGGCGACAGAGCGAGACUCUGCCUCAG